CGCCAUCAGCGCGUAUACAACACUGACGACAUGGUUCUACAGAAACCAGGAUUAGAUACCCCACUAUUCUUUCACUCUUAAACCUUGGGUAGUAACUAGAUAUUUUCUUCAAACCCAAAGGAUUUGGCGGUGUUUAAUCUAAUCAGAGGAACCUGUCUGGUAAUCGUCGCCACCCGUUAGAUCUCACCUUCCCUCAGCACUCAUAUACCGUCGUCUCAACACUAUCAGGAGAAGCGUGUUUAAAAGGGUAACAUCAAUGUCAGAUCAAGGUGUGGUUAUGGGAGGGGACAAGAUGGGUUACAAUUGAGAGGCCAUUGAAAAGUCUUGCUGAAACACAAGGUUGAAACUGGAUUUGAGAGUAAUCUACCUUUAAAACAGGUGGGUGGAUAAGCUCUUAAACAUGUACAUAUCGCCCGUCGCUAGACCAAGUCUCUGCUACCGUAUGUAUACGCGCUGAGCGGGCUGG
rnacentral:rRNA from 1 species